UAACAAGGAUUCCCCUAGUAGCGGCGAGCGAAGCGGGAAGAGCUCAAAUUUAUAAUCUGGCACCUUCGGUGUCCGAGUUGUAAUCUCUAGAAGUGUUUUCCGCGUUGGACCGCACACAAGUCUGUUGGAAUACAGCGGCAUAGUGGUGAAACCCCCGUAUAUGGUGCGGACGCCCAGCGCUUUGUGAUACACUUUCAAUGAGUCGAGUUGUUUGGGAAUGCAGCUCAAAUUGGGUGGUAAAUUCCAUCUAAAGCUAAAUAUUGGCGAGAGACCGAUAGCGAACAAGUACCGUGAGGGAAAGAUGAAAAGCACUUUGGAAAGAGAGUUAACAGUACGUGAAAUUGUUGGAAGGGAAACGCUUGAAGUCAGACUUGCUUGCCGGAGCUUGCUUCGGUUUGCAGGCCAGCAUCAGUUUUUCGGGGUGGAUAAUGACGGUUUGAAGGUAGCAGUCUCGGCUGUGUUAUAGCUUUCCGUUGGAUACAUCCUGGGGGACUGAGGAACGCAGCGUGCUUUUUGCGAAAGACUCGUCUUUUUCACGCUUAGGAUGCUGGUKGAAUGGCUUAAC
rnacentral:rRNA from 1 species